rnacentral:rRNA from 1 species
UGAAUACGAGAUGCUACGGCAUUGAAGCAGUGUAUGUCAGACUUCCAAGAAAAGCUCGCAAUGUCAUAAACAAUAAAUGCCUGUACCAUAACCGACACAGGUGGGUAGGUAGAGUAUACUAAGGGGCGCGAGAUAACUCUCUCUAAGGAACUCGGCAAAAUGACUCCGUAACUUCGGGAGAAGGAGUGCCUUAUUUUAUAAGGUUGCAAUAACAAGAUCCAAGCAACUGUUUACCAAAAACACAGGUCUCCGCUAAGUCGAAAGACGAUGUAUGGGGGCUGACGCCUGCCCAGUGCCAGCAGGUUAAAGAAGUUGGUUAGCUUCGGCGAAGCUGAUGACUGAAGCCCUGGUGAACGGCGGCCGUAACUAUAACGGUCCUAAGGUAGCGAAAUUCCUUGUCGGGUAAGUUCCGACCCGCACGAAAGGCGUAAUGAUUUGGAUACUGUCUCGGAGAGGGGCUCGGUGAAAUAGACUUGUCUGUGAAGAUGCGGACUACCUGCACCUGGACAGAAAGACCCUAUGAAGCUUUACUGUAACUUGAGAUUGAAAUUGGACUUUAUUUGCGCAGUAUAGGUGGGAGACGUUGAGAAUAUUCUUGCGGGAAUAUUGGAGUCAUCAGUGAGAUACCACUCUUGUAAUGUUAGAUUUCUAACUUUGUAUCAUUAUCUGGUCAAAGGACAGUUUCAGGCGGGCAGUUUGACUGGGGCGGUCGCCUCCUAAACGGUAACGGAGGCGCACAAAGGUUUCCUCUGAACGUGUAGAAAUCGUAUCUAGAGUGUAAAGGCAUAAGGAAGCUUGACUGUGAGACCUACAAGUCGAGCAGGGACGAAAGUCGGUCUUAGUGAUCUGACGGUGCUGAGUGGAAAGGCCGUCACUCAACGGAUAAAAGUUACUCUAAGGAUAACAGGCUGAUCUCCCCCAAGAGUUCACAUCGACGGGGAGGUUUGGCACCUCGAUGUCGGCUCAUCGCAUCCUGGGGCGGUAGUACGUCCCAAGGGUUGGGCUGUUCGCCCAUGAAAGCGGUACGCGAGCUGGGUUCAGAACGUCGUGAGACAGUUCGGUCCAUAUCCGGUGUAGGCGUUAGAAUAUUGAGAGGAGCCUUCUUUAGUACGAGAGGACCGAGAAGGACAUACCUCUGGUGUACCAGUUAUCGUGCCAACGGUAAACGCUGGGUAGCUAUGUAUGGAGUGGAUAACCGCUGAAAGCAUCUAAGUGGGAAGCCCACCUCAAGAUAAGUAUUCUC